AUUGAACGCUGGCGGCAUGCCUUACACAUGCAAGUCGAACGGCAGCGCGGGGCAACCUGGCGGCGAGUGGCGAACGGGUGAGUAAUAUAUCGGAACAUGCCCAGAAGUGGGGGAUAACGUAGCGAAAGUUACGCUAAUACCGCAUACGAUCUACGGAUGAAAGUGGGGGACCGCAAGGCCUCAUGCUUUUGGAGUGGCCGAUAUCUGAUUAGCUAGUUGGUGGGGUAAAGGCCUACCAAGGCGACGAUCAGUAGCUGGUCUGAGAGGACGACCAGCCACACUGGAACUGAGACACGGUCCAGACUCCUACGGGAGGCAGCAGUGGGGAAUUUUGGACAAUGGGGGGCAACCCUGAUCCAGCAAUGCCGCGUGUGUGAAGAAGGCCU
rnacentral:rRNA from 1 species